GGCCUAGCUCAGAGGUACAGUAUCUGCUUUGCAUGCAGAAGGUCUCAGGUUCAAUCCCUGGCAUCUCCA